rnacentral:rRNA from 1 species
UACGUAGGCAGCGAGCGUUGUUCGGAGUUACUGGGCGUAAAGCGUGCGUAGGCGGUUUUGUAAGUUUGGUGUGAAAUCUCCCGGCUCAACUGGGAGGGUGCGCCGAAAACUGCAAGGCUGGAGUGUGGGAGAGGUAGGCGGAAUUCCUGGUGUAGCGGUGAAAUGCGUAGAUAUCAGGAGGAACACCUGUGGUGUAGACGGCUUACUGGACCAUGACUGACGCUGAGACGCGAAAGCUAGGGGAGCGAACAGG